UCAAGAAGGCUGGUCAAGAUUAAACCAUUUUCUGCAUUGAUAACAACGGUGCAUUUGUUUUUAUUUGAUUAAACAAUCAAGAUGAAAUUAUUGAAUUUUGUUUUCUUCAUUUUUGUCAUCUUCCAAGCCACCAUGUUGACUCUGGCUGAUCAUGGAGGUCACGAAGGGGGUCAUGGAGGUCACGGAGGUCAAGGAGGGGGACACCAUGAUGGGGGUCAUGGAGGACAUGGAGGUGGACACAAUGCCGGUGGACAUGGACAUGGACAUUAAAAAAAAUCCAAAAAAACUGAUUUUUGAAAAUUUAUUGUUGACAUGAUUGUUUAUUAUAUAGAAAAUUUAAUUUUAAUUUGUUUUGUCGGUAAUGUUGUUAAUAAAAAUGUAUCCCUUUAAAACA